CCUACGGUGGCUGCAGUGGGGAAUAUUGGACAAUGGGCGAAAGCCUGAUCCAGCCAUGCCGCGUGCGUGAAGAAGGCCUUCGGGUUGUAAAGCACUUUCAGUGGGGAAGAAAGCCUUGGGGCUAAUACCCUCGAGGAAGGACAUCACCCACAGAAGAAGCACCGGCUAACUCCGUGCCAGCAGCCGCGGUAAUACGGAGGGUGCGAGCGUUAAUCGGAAUUACUGGGCGUAAAGCGCGCGUAGGCGGUCUGAUAAGCCGGUUGUGAAAGCCCCGGGCUCAACCUGGGAACGGCAUCCGGAACUGUCAGGCUAGAGUGCAGGAGAGGAAGGUAGAAUUCCCGGUGUAGCGGUGAAAUGCGUAGAGAUCGGGAGGAAUACCAGUGGCGAAGGCGGCCUUCUGGACUGACACUGACGCUGAGGUGCGAAAGCGUGGGUAGCAAACAGGAUUAGAUACCCUGGUAGUC
rnacentral:rRNA from 1 species